rnacentral:rRNA from 1 species
AUACGGAGGGUGCAAGCGUUACUGGGAAUCACUGGGCGUAAAGCGCGCGCAGGCGGCUAUUUAAGUUGGAUGUGAAAGCCUACGGCUCAACCGUAGAACUGCACCCAAAACUAUUUAGCUAGAGUGUGGGAGAGGAAGAUGGAAUUAGUUGUGUAGGGGUAAAAUCCGUAGAGAUAACUAGGAAUACCAAAAGCGAAGGCAAUCUUCUGGAACACUACUGACGCUGAGGCGCGAAAGCGUGGGGAGCAAACAGGAUUAGAAACCCUAGUAGUCC